UUCGUCGUCGUUGUCCGAAGACACAUUGGUUUUUCGCACUCUAACUUUAGUUUAAGUGAAUGGAUCUCUAUGAAAUUUUACCAUAAGGUUCAAUACCACGAAAGGAAGGUUGGGAUUGAUUUUGGGGGUUAUGGUACCAA